AUUGAACGCUGGCGGCAGGCCUAACACAUGCAAGUCGAGCGAGUGGCGGACGGGUGAGUAAUGUCUGGGGAACUGCCUGAUGGAGGGGGAUAACUACUGGAAACGGUCGCUAAUACCGCAUACCAUCAGAUGUGCCCAGAUGGGAUUAGCUAGUAGGUGGGGUAACGGCUCACCUAGGCGACGAUCCCUAGCUGGUCUGAGAGGAUGACCAGCCACACUGGAACUGAGACACGGCCCAGACUCCUACGGGAGGCAGCAGUGGGGAAUAUUGCACAAUGGGCGCAAGCCUGAUGCAGCCAUGCCGCGUGUAUGAAGAAGGACUUCGGGUUGUAAAGUACUUUCAGUGGGGAGGCGUUACCGACAGAAGAAGCACCGGCUAACUCCGUGCCAGCAGCCGCGGUAAUUC
rnacentral:rRNA from 1 species